UACGGAGCGUAGGUGUGUGAGGUGCUCGCUCGAAGGCCUCCGUGGAGGAGAAGUAAACAGAAAUGUUCAUAAAUAAUCAUUAGCUAGCAUUGGCACUAUUGAUUUGCCUUUAAAAAAAAUGUUUUACAGUGAUCACUACACCAUGGCAGAUGGUGGCGAGUUGGAUAACUAUAUUAUAAUCUAUCCUAGUGCCAGUGUGAUUUUUUCUUGCUUGAUGUGAAUUUUAUCGGUGUUUUAAAAGGCAAUCUAGCUAGCUAUGUCAAGGGGAUUUAUUAUGCUAUUUAAAUUGUAGUUAAUUGUUUUCCAGCAGCUAGGUCGAUUGCUAUUCAUGUUAUGCUUGUAAAUGAUUAGCUAGUUAUGUUGUGCUGUUAUUCAAUCAAUUGUAGCAUUACUAGCUAACUAUCUCACUUAGCGACUGAAUUGUUGUUGAGAGAUUCAGCAAGGUAAUGUAACACCAAACAAGUAGGGAGUUAUUUUUGGGUCGCAGCUGCUGGAAAUUCAAUGUUUGGGGGAGGAUGGAGUGUGAGAAUAGAGAUUGAUGUGUGUGUGUACCAUGGAUAGUAAAAUAAUGUGCGUGCGUGAGAGAUCCUGCGCGCACUUGUCUGUGGUCAAAGGGCAGCUAUAACAGUUUCUCCCACUGAGACAAGAUACUACUGACUCAGCAGGUCAACCCAGGACACAAGAGGUACCUCUAAGUUACUGUUGCUUGCCCUCUUAGACUGAGGUUGUGAUGCAUCUCCCUCUCUGCUUUCCAUUCUGCUGUUUUUCCUCUCACUUUUUAUUCUCCCCUUUCUCUACUCUCCCUUUUUAGCCCCAUUUUAUAUGUCAAUGUCUCCCUCUUGCUCUCUCUCAGUUAAAUGUACAUUUAAGGUCUUUAUUGGCAUGGGAAACAUAUGUUGACAUUACCAAAGCAAGUGAAAUAAAUAAAAACUUUGUGAAAUAAACAAUAAAAAAUGAACGGUAAACAUUACACUUAUAAAAGUUCCAAAAGAAUAAAGACAUUUAAAUGUCAUGUCUAUAUACAGUGUUGUAAUGAUGUGCAAAUAGUUAAAGUACAAAAGGGAAAUAAUUCAACAUAAAUAUAGGUUGUAUUUGCAAUUGUGUUUGUUCUUCACUGGUUGCCCAAUAGAUAUGGGAGUUUAUUGACAUUAGAUUUGUUUUCAAAUGAUUUAUGGGUCUGUGUAAUCUGAGGGAAAUAUGUGUCUAAUAUGGUCAUACAUUUGGAAGGAGGUUAGGAAGUGCAGCUCAGCUUCCACCUCCUUUUGUGGGUAGUGAGCACAUAGCCUAUCUACUCUUGAGAGCCAGGUCUGCCUACGGCGGCCUUUCUCAAUAGCAAGGCUAUGCUCACUGAGUCUGUACAUAGUCAACGCUUUCCUUAAGUUUGGGUCAGUCACAGUGGUCAGGUGUUCUCUCACUCCCCAUGUUCCAUGUAGACGUGCAUUGGAUGAGCUGUUGAAGGAAACCAAUCGGGCUGGGUGCAAGCAGAAACCAUGGGUUCAGCAGGCUGGAUGAAGUGUCCGAUGUGCAGCACUAACAAUUGUUUCCUGCUCAACACCAUUCCACAGCGCUGCCCUGCUGGCCACUCAGGAGUACAGACAUCAAAUAGUAAGGGGCAGGACACCACCCAGAGACAAUUGGGAAUACAAAGACCACAGGGGACUCAGGGAAAAAGACAAUCAUAGAGACAGCCGAGAACUUUGUCUCUUUUGUGUCCAUCUUUAAGACUAAGAUAGCAACACAGGCCAAGACAGCUACAAAGACAGAAGGGACUGAGACAAUGACAGAGACAGCCAUAGAGACAAGAAACACCGACAUAAAAGAGCCUCUGGUCACAAGAGACACUUUGUCCCCAAAACACACAGUCCCCAUGAAGGACACUCCCCAUCUUCUUCUAGACCAGGGUUACCCCACCUCAGUCCUGAACCCCCCUGGGGGCAUGUUUUGUUUUUUUGCUGAUUCAAAAUACCAACUCCUCAUCAAGCUUUGAUUUGUUUUAAUUGGCUGUGUAGUGCUAUGGCAAAAACCAAAACGUGCUCCCAGGAGAGGCCUCAGGACCGAGUUUGGGAAACGCUGUUGUAGAGACCGCUCCCUCCACUGACAGUAGCUCCUCAUUCCACUCCAGGGCAAGCUCCCACCCGAUAGGCCACACCUUCUAUCAAUCAAACCAUUGCAGCAGACCACGCUCACCUGUUAAGGACACGCCCAGUGGAAGGAGCCACGUGUGACAUCAUAACCUUGGAGGGAGUGCUGUAAUGGUGUUACCCAGAGGAGGUCCCCCCCCCCCUCAAAGACAUAAAUAUACCCAUUGAAUGACUGGAAAGAGAGUGUGUUUGUGUUAGAAUGUGAGAAAGACUGGUUGCUGUUGUAAGGUUGUGACAAGUAUAACUAAUUAAAUUGUCUUUGUUUCUACUGA